rnacentral:lncRNA from 1 species
CCAAGACAGACAUCCAGCAACCUCAGUCUCUCCGUAGAGCUGGCUCUCCACAGUGAUUCCAUGGUUCCCAGAGAAUUGGGCUGGAACAGAGAGGCAUGGAGAUGGAGCCUCACCUUCGAUGGAGUAUUUGUGUCCUGAAGCCAUGUGAAGACAGAUGAUGACAUAAGAUUGGGCUGUCAGCUGCUCAGCCUGGUUUAUUCUGCAAUCAAGUUUGACCAAGACAUAAGGAGGAAUAAAUCGGCCUGAACAUGGAGUCAGGUGACCUGAGCGUGGAGCCCAGCUUGGAUGCCUGCCUGCUGUGGGACUUUGUACAAACUGUAUGGCAUCUCUGGGUCCUUGGUCUUCUCUGUCAC